AUUUGCAUAGCUUAUAUUAAAGCAAAGCGUUGAAGGUGCUUAGAAGAUUUAUUAAUUUGUAGAUG
rnacentral:tRNA from 1 species